GGGUCCCGGGCGGGCCGCGCCCCGAGCUGGGCUUGGCAGAGACCUCGCCCAAGUUCACGCCGGCCCGUUCUGGACUGUGCUCUGGAAGAGGUGGUGCUGGAAUCCCCUACCCCUACUGGAGCUGGACCGUCUGGGGACGGGACCUUGUAGAUGUGGCAGCCCCUGGCUUCAGUGAGCUGGGAGGCCCCGGGCAGCAAUUCCACUUCUGCCAGAAGUGGGUGUGUCUUCCCAUUGUGGGGAGGAAGAUGGGCUCAGAGAAACCUUGUGAUUUAUUUUUGUAGUUCAGUGCUGAUUUUAGUGGCUUUCUAUUGUGACCUUGCAGUAACUCAUUUCAUAUUUCACCCAUGUGGUGGAUGAGAAAGCAGUGGCCUGGGAGGUGGCCACCCCAGGGAGUGUGGCAAAGGUGGGACAGCCCAGGCAGGGCCUGCUGCGUCUGUCCUUCCUUUGUGUUCCUCUGCACCGGCUCAGCCUUCAGGGAUUCUCCCUGGACUCCAGGCCACCUCCGCCCUACCCGGUGCCCAGCACUCACCCCGUGCUGGCACCUCUAACCACCUCCCAGUUGGCUGGUUUCUUGUUGGGCAGACAGCAGGGAACUUGGUAAUGAGAUGCCACCUCCAGCCUUUGCCUCUUGGUGAGUGCCUUUCCUUCUUCCACCCCGUGCAACGGCUCAAUAGGGAAGACACUGGAGGAGCUGGGAGACAAAGUGAAGCCUGGCGUUGAAGAGUAAGUCCAUUGUUAACUCCCAGCUGGGGCAGUCACUCUGCCUUUGCAACUCUCCUGUAAAUCUUCAGUUUUUCCUCAAUAAAAUAAGUUUUUGAAAACCCAGGAA